rnacentral:sRNA from 1 species
UGUUAGCCCUGAUCGAAAUGAAAAGCCUUUUGAAAUAGAAUUGUAUUUUUUCUCGACAAAAAAGAGCGAUUGAAGUAAGCUCCUUUUUAGUCUUAGAAAAAAGCAAUGCUAUAAUAAAGCUUGAAAGGAAGAGCAGGAUAAGCU